rnacentral:rRNA from 1 species
GACGAACGCUGGCGGCGUGCCUAAUACAUGCAAGUAGAACGCUGAAGGAGGAGCUUGCUUCUCCGGAUGAGUUGCGAACGGGUGAGUAACGCGUAGGUAACCUGCCUGGUAGCGGGGGAUAACUAUUGGAAACGAUAGCUAAUACCGCAUAACAGUAGAUGUUGCAUGACAUUUGCUUAAAAGGUGCAAUUGCAUCACUACCAGAUGGACCUGCGUUGUAUUAGCUAGUUGGUGAGGUAACGGCUCACCAAGGCGACGAUACAUAGCCGACCUGAGAGGGGGAUCGGCCACACUGGGACGGAGACACGGCCCAGACUCCUACGGGAGGCAGCAGUAGGGAAUCUUCGGCAAUGGACGGAAGUCUGACCGAGCAACGCCGCGUGAGUGAAGAAGGGUUUCGGAUCGUAAAGCUCGGUUGUAAGAGAAGAACGAGUGUGAGAGUGGAAAGUUCACACUGUGACGGUAUCUUACCAGAAAGGGACGGCUAACUACGUG